rnacentral:rRNA from 1 species
CAGUAGCCGCGGGAAUACAGAGGGUGCAAGCGUUAAUCGGAAUUACUGGGCGUAAAGUGCGCGUAGGUGGUUUGUUAAGUUGGAUGUGAAAUCCCCGGGCUCAACCUGGGAACUGCAUCCAAAACUGGCAAGCUAGAGUAUGGUAGAGGGUGGUGGAAUUUCCUGUGUAGCGGUGAAAUGCGUAGAUAUAGGAAGGAACACCAGUGGCGAAGGCGACCACCUGGACUGAUACUGACACUGAGGUGCGAAAGCGUGGGGAGCAAACAGGAUUAGAUACCCGUGUAGUCCCUGUCUCUUAUAC